rnacentral:rRNA from 1 species
CCUACGGGAGGCAGCAGUGAGGAAUAUUGGUCAAUGGACGAGAGUCUGAACCAGCCAAGUAGCGUGAAGGAUGACUGCCCUACGGGUUGUAAACUUCUUUUAUAUGGGAAUAAAGUGUUCCACGUGUGGGUUUUUGUAUGUACCAUAUGAAUAAGGAUCGGCUAACUCCGUGCCAGCAGCCGCGGUAAUACGGAGGAUCCGAGCGUUAUCCGGAUUUAUUGGGUUUAAAGGGAGCGUAGAUGGGUUGUUAAGUCAGUUGUGAAAGUUUGCGGCUCAACCGUAAAAUUGCAUUUGAAACUGGCAGUCUUGAGUACAGUAGAGGUAGGCGGAAUUCGUGGUGUAGCGGUGAAAUGCUUAGAUAUCACGAAGAACUCCGAUUGCGAAGGCAGCUUACUAAACUGCCACUGACACUGAGGCUCGAAAGUGUGGGUAUCAAACAGGAUUAGAUACCCGGGUAGUC